UACGUAGGGUGCAGGCGUUAAUCGGAAUUACUGGGCGUAAAGCGUGCGCAGGCGGUUUGCUAAGACAGGUGUGAAAUCCCCGGGCUUAACCUGGGAACUGCGCUUGUAACUGGCAAGCUGGAGUGUGGCAGAGGGGGGUGGAAUUCCGACGUGUAGCAGUGGAAAUGCGUAGAGAUGUGGAGGAACACCGAUGGCGAAGGCAGCCCCCUGGGCUAACACUGACGCUCAUGCACGAAAGCGUGGGGAGCAAACAGG
rnacentral:rRNA from 1 species